rnacentral:rRNA from 1 species
AUUGAACGCUGGCGGCAGGCCUAACACAUGCAAGUCGAACGAGUGGCGGACGGGUGAGUAAUGUCUGGGAAACUGCCUGAUGGAGGGGGAUCACUACUGGAAACGGUAGCUAAUACCGCAUACCAUCAGAUGUGCCCAGAUGGGAUUAGCUAGUUGGUGGGGUAACGGCUCACCAAGGCGACGAUCCCUAGCUGGUCUGAGAGGAUGACCAGGCACACUGGAACGGAGACACGGUCCAGACUCCGACGGGAGGCAGAAGUGGGGAAUAGUGAGCAAUGGGCGCAAGCCUGAAGCAGCCAUGCCGCGUGUAUGAAGAAGGCCUUCGGGUUGUAAAGGACGUUCAGCGGGGAGGCGUUACCCGCAGAAGAAGCAACGGAUAACUCCGUGCCAGCCGCCGCGGUAAUA